UACGAAGGGUGCAAGCGUUCCUCGGAAUUACUGGGCGUAAAGCGUGCGUAGGUGGUUCGUUAAGUCUGUCGUGAAAGCCCCGGGCUCAACCUGGGAAUGGCGAUGGAUACUGGCGGGCUAGAGUGCGGUAGAGGGUGGUGGAAUUCCCGGUGUAGCAGUGAAAUGCGUAGAGAUCGGGAGGAACAUCAGUUGCGAAGGCGGCCACCUGGACCAGCACUGACACUGAGGCACGAAAGCGUGGGGAGCAAACAGG
rnacentral:rRNA from 1 species